AGAGUUUGAUCAUGGCUCAGGAUGAACGCUGGCGGCGUGCCUAACACAUGCAAGUCGAGCGAUUCUCUUCGGAGAAGAGCGGCGGACGGGUGAGUAACGCGUGGGUAACCUGCCCUGUACACACGGAUAACAUACCGAAAGGUAUGCUAAUACGAGAUAAUAUACUUUUAUCGCAUGGUAGAAGUAUCAAAAGCUCCGGCGGUACAGGAUGGACCCGCGUCUGAUUAGCUAGUUGGUAAGGUAACGGCUUACCAAGGCGACGAUCAGUAGCCGACCUGAGAGGGUGAUCGGCCACAUUGGAACUGAGACACGGUCCAAACUCCUACGGGAGGCAGCAGUGGGGAAUAUUGCACAAUGGGCGAAAGCCUGAUGCAGCAACGCCGCGUGAGCGAUGAAGGCCUUCGGGUCGUAAAGCUCUGUCCUCAAGGAAGAUAAUGACGGUACUUGAGGAGGAAGCCCCGGCUAACUACGUG
rnacentral:rRNA from 1 species